rnacentral:rRNA from 1 species
ACACGACUCUCGGCAACGGAUAUCUCGGCUCUUGCAUCGAUGAAGAACGUAGCGAAAUGCGAUACCUGGUGUGAAUUGCAGAAUCCCGCGAACCAUCGAGUCUUUGAACGCAAGUUGCGCCCGAGGCCUUUUGGCCGAGGGCACGCCUGCCUGGGCGUCACGC